AAAGGAUUUAGAGUUUAUAUCUGUUUUUGUGUUACACAACAGCUUUUCAGUCUGAAGUAGUCAUACAAAUAUUUUUGUGUAUUAAAAAAGCUCCUCCGGCAUCGAAGUCUUUAUCUCGUCAAUCGUAGCGUAGCGUUGUCCUUUCAUGGGCCUCUUCAGUUUCGGGAACAAGAAAAGUCACAGGGGGCCAGAUCUGGGGAAUACGGUGGCUGUGGCAUCAUUAGUGUGUUGUUUUCGGCCAAAAAGUCGCGCACAAGCAAGGAUGUGUGAGCAGGGGCCUUAUCGUGAUGGAAGAGCCAAUUUUUGUUCUUCCACAAAUCCGGGCGUUUUUGGAUGCGCAUAACUUGCAGGUCACUGACGCCGAUUGAGAAGCCCCGCUGUGACCUUCCUGGACAUUUUAAAUGAUUAAUAUAAAAAAAAAAA